AACGAACGCUGGCGGCAUGCCUAACACAUGCAAGUCGAACGAACCCUUCGGGGUUAGUGGCGCACGGGUGCGUAACGCGUGGGAAUCUGCCCUUUGCUUCGGAAUAACAGUUAGAAAUGACUGCUAAUACCGGAUGAUGUCUUCGGACCAAAGAUUUAUCGGCAAAGGAUGAGCCCGCGUAGGAUUAGGUAGUUGGUGGGGUAAAGGCCUACCAAGCCGACGAUCCUUAGCUGGUCUGAGAGGAUGAUCAGCCACACUGGGACUGAGACACGGCCCAGACUCCUACGGGAGGCAGCAGUGGGGAAUAUUGGACAAUGGGCGAAAGCCUGAUCCAGCAAUGCCGCGUGAGUGAUGAAGGCCUUAGGGUCGUAAAGCUCUUUUACCCGGGAUGAUAAUGACAGUACCGGGAGAAUAAGCCCCGGCUAACUCCGUGCCAGCAGCCGCGGUAAUACGGAGGGGGCUAGCGUUGUUCGGAAUUACUGGGCGUAAAGCGUACGUAGGCGGUUAUUCAAGUCAGAGGUGAAAGCCCGGGGCUCAACCCCGGAACGGCCUUUGAAACUAGGUAGCUAGAGUCUUGGAGAGGUCAGUGGAAUUCCGAGUGUAGAGGUGAAAUUCGUAGAUAUUCGGAAGAACACCAGUGGCGAAGGCGACUGACUGGACAAGUACUGACGCUGAGGU
rnacentral:rRNA from 1 species